ACCAUGAACGUUUUAUUGAUUAAAAACAACACUUGGGUUGGAGCGCACGGGCAUGACAGAGAUCCCACCUGACCCCAACAACUUCAGCAAGAUGAGGAGGAUGUAGUCGAUGCACAGUACUUUUUUAUUUGUUUACUGUUAGGUUUUGUCCUAUCUUACCAGCCUUGCAGAUUGUGCAGAGUCUUCAUGUAACAGGCGAAAGCUCAAAGCAACCAGCCCGGGGCCUCUCUGAUAUGUCAAAACAAUUUUUAAAGCCUCUGGCCUAAGUCUUUGUCCUCAAGGCUCCAAUGCAGUUUUCUGUUCUUAUGCUUACUGGCACCAUAGACCCUCUCAGGACGGACCUGCUGAAUCCCACGCUGGCCUGAUGAAGCUUCUAUUUCGGUCAAAUAUUCCAGGAUGCUCUACAGUUUCUAAAAACAUUUUUAUGAUCAGAAAACCCUGCUGGACAUCAUGAACUCAAAGUACUGCAGGUCUACCCUACCAGUGAGUUGCUCAUUCGUGGAAAAACUGAAGGAGCUGAACUUGCUGGGGUUCAUGCUGCUGCCUGCAUCAGGGAGGCACGAAGUCGGUGUGCAAAGGCUGUGUACAGCUGAACAUGCUGCUGCCAGACAACAAAUUUCACAACAUACGCUAUUGAUAAUAGCCUCUCAAAGUCCAACUCUACGUGGUGGAAAUGGGCAAGGCCUGCCAACAGGGCUCUGGUGAAGUUCUAUAGGUCAAUUCCCUGUACAGUGGAUGCAGAAGCUUUGAUGAACACCAACCAUACCAUCGACUUUGGACGUUGGAGACAGGAAGUCAUCGAUGGCCUACGCUUUACUGGGAGCUAACAGCCCAAGGAGUUAGUGAUAAUAAACCUAAUUCUGAUUGAUCAUGCAUGAAUCAGUGUUUUCAAAUAUCACAACUGAAGGCUAUACCUUAUCUUUUGUUUCCUUGAUAAACUGAAUUUUGUUUUAGAGAUACAGCACAGAACAGGCUCUUUCAAUACAACGAGCCACACCACCCAGCAACCUACACAUUAGCCCUAGCCUAAUCACAGGACAAUUUACAAUGUCCAGUUAACUGACUGUGGGAGCAAUGCUUACAGAAAGAACAUACAAACUUUACUUAGAGGAUACUGGAAUUGAACUGUAAUGCCCCGAACAGUUAUACCAUUACAAAAUGGUACUGGAAAGAAGGCAUGGCAAAGUUAAGAUGGCGCAAAACAGCAACUCCUUUGCUUGCAUCUUCAGAAACAGCUUUAUUUCUAUCUUUGCUAUCUCAUUUUUUUUCCUUUUCAGGGCUCUUCUGAAGACCCUGACCUGGAGUUACACUCUGACUUCAGUUCUUGGCGGGAACGGGACCUGCUCGCAGGGCAUCACGACCGGCGGCCUUUUGAAAUCCAAAAGAUGAGCGCGCCUUCAGGGUUCUGGGGAUUUGUGGCUCUGGGGACAUGCUGAUUCUCAGCCGGUGCCCCUGACUGAAGCAUCGCAGAACACAGUACAUUUACAGCAGUGGGUUAGCUGCUGGGGGUUGUGCACCCCUUUCAGGUGCUGACUCUCUGGGUGCAGAGCUCAGAAAAAGCGACGCAACUGACUUUUAACAUCGUACAUCAGCGAGUUGUUCGUUACAUCUCCCCUCUCACUGUGAAACAGGGACACCUCUUUUUCCCUUGUUAGGGAGAGGGAGAGAGAGAGAGCCUGUGGUAUGUCAAAUUACCGGGUGUACGAGUAGUCUUUGGGGUACUUCAAGUCAGUGUCUUUAUGCUUUGCUGCACAUCGAGACUGUAUUUUUAUUGAUGCUUUUUUGGGGAUGGGGGGGUUGCUGCUGCUUGUGCAUGGGGGAGGGAGUGGGGUUCUAACGUUGUAACUGUCGUUCAUUCUUUGGGGCACUCCUCUGUUUCUGUGGAUGUUUACGAAGAAAAAGAAUUUCAGGGUGUGUGUUGAAUACAUUUCUCUGACAUUAAGUGCACCUAUUGAAACCUAUUGAAAAUAGUUGUUGAAAAUUACACAGCCUUCAGCUUAAAUCCAGGAAACAGUCACAAUCAAGGUACAGGAGAACUGUAGGUUGAUGUAAGUGAUAUCUCCGAGUCUCCCUUUCAUUCCUGACAACAUUCUUGAAAGUUGGCUGCAAAUCAGAAUCUGCCUCCCUCUCCUAAUAUAAAGCUUUAUUUGUUACACAUACACUAAAACAUUCAGUGAAAUGCGUCGAUUUCACCAACGAUCAAUACAGUCCAAAGAUGGGGCAGGGGGCAGCCUCCAAGUGUCGCCAACACAACUUCCAACACCAACGUAGCAUACCCGCAAUUUUACAAACCUGAGCCCGAACAUCUUUGCAAUGUGGGAAGGAACUGGAAAACCAGGAAGAAACCCAUGCGGAUCACGGGAAAAGCGUAGACUGUGGUGGGAAUUGAACCCCAAUCACAAUCACUGGCGCUGUAAAGAGUUGUGUUAACCACUGCACCGCUGUUCUGCCUGAUAUAUGCAUGAAUAAGUAAGUUCAGUAAGCCUCGAGAGAGGAAAAAAAGACUUUUUUUAAACCACUUACUGCCUGUUAACAGAACGGGCAGUACAAAGCACUUGGAAUAAAAAUCCUUAAGCACUAGAUCACUAAAUGAACGGCGAGGGGGAAGGACAUGUCCCAAUGGGUUUCCCAUUCUGUUACCUUAUCACAAAAUGUGCUGAUAUUGGAGACAGUUCAGAGGAGGUUCACGAGAAUGAUUCUGGGAAUGAAAGGGUUACAAUACCAGGAGUGUUUGAUGGCUGGGCCUUUUCUCACUGGUGUUUAGAAGAAUGGGGGGGGGGGGGGAUCUCAUUGAAACCUAUCAAAUAUUGAAAGGCCUAGAUAAACUGGAUGUGGAGAGGAUGUUUCCCAUAGUGGGGGAGUCUAGGACCAGAGUGCACAAUCUUAGAAAAGAAGAACGUCCCUUUAGAACAGAGACGAGGAGAAAUUUCUUUCGCCAGAGGGUGAUGACCCUGUGGAAUUUAUUGCCACAGACAGCUGUGGAGGCCAUGUCGUUGAGUAUAUGUAAAAUAGAGGUUGAUAGGUUCUUGAUCUGUCAGGGCAUCCAAGGUUAUAGAGAGAAGGCUCGAGAGGGAUAAUAAAUCAGCCAUGAUGGAAUGAUGGUGCACACUUGAUAGGCCGAAUAGCCUAGUUCUGCUUCUAUGUCUUAUGGUCUUGAAUAGCCUGGCUUUUAAAUAAGUGUAACUGUACAUCUUCCUUAAUUAGGAAGCAGAUAAGCCAUCUAUAAUUCUACUCCCCUUGUGUUUUUAUUUUAAAAAGUAUUUUCUUUCUUUUAAAAAAGUAUCUCCUCUUACCCCUUCUUCUCACCUCCCUCUGGUUCUUCUCCUCCUUCCCUUUCUCAAAUGCUCCAGCUCUUCUCUCCCAUCAGAUUCUUCCUUCACCUUUUCCACCCAUCACCUCUGAGCUUGUCACUACAUUCCCCCCACCCCCUCAGAACCCAUCCACCUUCCCCUUCACUUCUCACCCGCCAGCCUGUACUCCUACCCUAACUUCUUAUUCUGGCUUCUCUCCCCUUCCUUUCCAGUCUUCACAAAGGGUCUCAACCCGAAACUAUAACUAUUUAUUCCCCUCCAUGGAUGCUGCCUGGUCUGCCAACUGUCUCCAGCAUUUGUGUGUAUUACUAUGGAUUUCCAACAUCCGCAGAAUCUCGUGUUUAGAAAUUCCUUUGCCCAUGGUGUGGCAAAUCUUUGGAAUUCUCUGAAGGCUUAAAAUGCACAAAGCAUUUGAAGACUCUCAAUCAUCUAGGCUGCAGCCCUCCAUCUCUAACACCUCUCCAGUCCUUAAUGCACUCAGUCAGGCACCAUCCUUUGAUCCCGGCACCCUUUCCAGCUUGGUGACUUCCUUAAUUAGUAAGCACUGUCCUACUCAUGACUAGGAGGCCAAGGACAGCUCUACUGCUAUGUUUAUGGUUGUUGACAUCACUGUUGUAGGCCGAAUCAAAGGCGGUGACAAAUCAGUAUAUAGGAGGGAGAUUGAAAAUCUGGCUGAGUAGUACCACAACAACAACCUCUCUCUCAAUGUCAGCAAGACCAAGGAGCUGAUUAUUGACCUCUGGAGGAGGAAACCAGAGGUCCAUGAGCCAAUUCUCAAUGGGGCAUCAGAGGUAGAGAGGGUCAUCAGCUUUAAAUUCCUCUGUUAUCAGUUCAGAUGAUCUGUCCUGGGUCUAGCAUGCAAGUGCCAUUUCAAGGAAAGCACUGCUGUGCCUCUACUUUCUCCACAGUUUGCAAAGAUGUGGCAUGUCAUCUAACGCUGUGACAAACUACUCCAGAUGUGGGGUGGAGAAUAUACUGACUGGUUGCUUCACACCCUGGUAUGGAAACACCAAAGUCCUUGAACAGAAAAAGCCUAUUAAAAGUAGUGGAUACAGCCCAGUCAAUCACGGGUAAAGCCCUCCCCACCAAUGAGCACAUCUAUAAGGAGCGCUAUCGCAGGAAAGCAGCAUCCAUCAUCAAGGAUCCCCACUACCCCGGCCAAGCUCCGCUCUCUCCACUGCCCUCAAGAAGGAGCUACAGGAACCUCAGGACCCACACCACCAGGUUCAGGAAAAGUUAUUACCCCUCAGCCAUCAGGCUCUUGAACCACAGGGGAUAAUUUCACUCAUCCCAACACUAAACUAUGCCCACAACCUAUGGACUUGCUUUCAAGGACUCCUGAUCUCGUGUUCUUGCGUGGGCGGGGGAAGCGACAGAGGGAGGGGGACAGAGUGACUGUCAGCAUUCUGCAGAUCAGCUCAUUCAGGGAACGAUCAAUAGUAUUUUGAUUUCUGCACUGCUACAGAGUUUUGAUUUCCCUUUUGUUUUGCAUUUAUUCUUGUUCUAAUAAAGUGUUUUCUCGUGGCCUUGAACAUCUGUGUCCUCUCCUUUGUUUGCGAAUACAUAUCUAAAUACCCUGAGCUGAACUAGGAGAGAAUACAUAACAAAUUUUAAAGCAAUUUUCUUUUAAAACAGUACAGACCUUUCAGCCCAUGAUAUUGUACUGACCUUUUAACCUACUCUAAGAUCAUAUGUGGGGACAUUAAAAUAGAUUUUGUGCAGGACUGGUGUAAACAGAUACUUGAUGGUGAAGACAGGCGAGUGGAAUCAAAGGGCUUGUUUCAAUGCUCUAUGAAUGUUUGAGAUAAAAGAAUACGAAUUCCAAAAAUACUCAAAGGGAGGUAACUUCAGGUUGUUAUAGCUGGGGGUGACAAUGGGGUCAAGCUCCCACUACCUAUUAAAUACUCCCAAUGGCAUGCACCUCAAAUAGCCUCUGAAAACCAAAUCCAGCUCUUGGCCUUCACGUGUGGCUUAGCUACUAAGCCCAGCAGAAUGUUUAUACUAACAGGAGAAGGGGCAAAGGCAGGCUACUAGCACCUUAAAACCAGUUGUUUUGGGGCAGGUGGGGCUCAUCAGGCAUGGUUGGCAGCUCAUCUGGGAGGGAAACUGAUCUAAAAUCCCCACUACACCCUAUGAGUGGCUGUACCCACUCAUGAGAAGGCUUCAGGAGAACCCCCCCACCCCCCAAGGACAACUCACUGGAGUUUCCAGCUCGCAAGCUGUAGUCCCUAAGGUAGGCCAACGUGGAGUUCAACGUUGACUGGCAACUCCUGCAAUGCCACUGGAGCCAAACCGUUCCUUUGGAUUCAUCAGCUGCGUGUUGAAAGGGGGCGCCUACUGCACGGGCAAUAGCUUGCUCUCCGGUUCAUACUGCCCUGGCUUGCAUACUGGGAUGUAACAUCCAUAGUCAACCCCAACCAACAGAUGGCCUCACUCAAAGGGAGAGACUGAGUUAAUGCUUUAAGUCAAUGAACUGGGAAAAGUUAAGGAUGAAAAAAAAUUCAGCCAAAUUAAAACCAGAAUAGUUUGAAAUGGAAACAUGCAUAGGCCCAGCAACAGAGCUUUUAGUAACAAAAUAGUUGGUCCUUUUGGCUCAACAUUAAACUUAGAUCUCAGUGCUGCAGUAUUGACGUGGCACCAGGCAAGCUGUAUUCAUCCAAUCAUGCCAGCAGUGAAACUCUUACGUUACUGCAACGGGGCCCAGAGCUAACUCCAGAUGUAAAUCUCAGCCCUCAGUGAUUUCAACCAGAUAAGGCUGCUGAAAUAUCGAUGCAGUGGAAGCCAACCAUUGUUAAAAAAAUAACCAAGCUAAUGGACAACUGUGUCCACAUAAGUGGCCGAGUCUGCAGCUCCCUCAACGAGCUCUUCUUCAACCUCAGAACCCACAAAACUUUCUUGUUCCCAAAGGACUGCC